GACGAACGCUGGCGGCGUGCCUAAUACAUGCAAGUAGAACGCUGAAGGAGGAGCUUGCUUCUCUGGAUGAGUUGCGAACGGGUGAGUAACGCGUAGGUAACCUGCCUGGUAGCGGGGGAUAACUAUUGGAAACGAUAGCUAAUACCGCAUAAGAGUAGAUGUUGCAUGACAUUUGCUUAAAAGGUGCAAUUGCAUCACUACCAGAUGGACCUGCGUUGUAUUAGCUAGUUGGUGGGGUAACGGCUUACCAAGGCGACGAUACAUAGCCGACCUGAGAGGGGGAUCGGCCACACUGGGACUGAGACACGGCCCAGACUCCUACGGGAGGCAGCAGUAGGGAAUCUUCGGCAAUGGACGGAAGUCUGACCGAGCAACGCCGCGUGAGGGAAGAAGGGUUUCGGAUCGUAAAGCUCUGUUGUAAGAGAAGAACGAGUGUGAGAGUGGAAAGUUCACACUGUGACGGUAUCUUACCAGAAAGGGACGGCUAACUACGUG
rnacentral:rRNA from 1 species